rnacentral:rRNA from 1 species
GAGGACCUCUGGCGGCGUGCCUAAUACAUGCAAGUCGUACGCUUCUUUUUCCACCGGAGCUUGCUCCACCGGAAAAAGAGGAGUGGCGAACGGGUGAGUAACACGUGGGUAACCUGCCCAUCAGAAGGGGAUAACACUUGGAAACAGGUGCUAAUACCGUAUAACAAUCGAAACCGCAUGGUUUUGAUUUGAAAGGCGCUUUCGGGUGUCGCUGAUGGAUGGACCCGCGGUGCAUUAGCUAGUUGGUGAGGUAACGGCUCACCAAGGCCACGAUGCAUAGCCGACCUGAGAGGGUGAUCGGCCACAUUGGGACUGAGACACGGCCCAAACUCCUACGGGAGGCAGCAGUAGGGAAUCUUCGGCAAUGGACGAAAGUCUGACCGAGCAACGCCGCGUGAGUGAAGAAGGUUUUCGGAUCGUAAAACUCUGUUGUUAGAGAAGAAUAAGGAUGAGAGUAACUGUUCAUCCCUUGACGGUAUCUAACCAGAAAGCCACGGCUAACUACGUGCCAGCAGCCGCGGUAAUACGUAGGUGGCAAGCGUUGUCCGGAUUUAUUGGGCGUAAAGCGAGCGCAGGCGGUUUCUUAAGUCUGAUGUGAAAGCCCCCGGCUCAACCGGGGAGGGUCAUUGGAAACUGGGAGACUUGAGUGCAGAAGAGGAGAGUGGAAUUCCAUGUGUAGCGGUGAAAUGCGUAGAUAUAUGGAGGAACACCAGUGGCGAAGGCGGCUCUCUGGUCUGUAACUGACGCUGAGGCUCGAAAGCGUGGGGAGCAAACAGGAUUAGAUACCCUGGUAGUCCACGCCGUAAACGAU